UUUUGAAUACGACUGCGAAAUAGUGCCUAACAGAACCAUACCUAACGAUAAGGAAAAUGCACGUUGAAGAAUAAUUUUAUUACUAAUUUCACUGCUUAAUAUUUUCUAAUUUUUCUUGUGCUUAACCGAUUAGCAAAGUGCGCAUCAUCCAGUACCAGAUUCUAUUCCCACCCUCAUCAGCAGUGAGUUUGUCCUCGUACUGUUGCAUGAGCUGUAAAAAAAGUGAAACAACUGGUACUACCUGCUACCAAAACCAUGGUAAAACCUAAACCAUAAGUGCUACGAUCCGCACUCGUGCCAUAGCAAACGACCAUUUCUGCAAUAAUGAACGCUUUCUUUGACCAUGCUGAAAUUCGGCUUUCAGACAAGACUGAUGAGACAAUUCAACCAAUUAAGACAAUUGCCAGCAUCGUUCAUCAGCGUGCGACGAAAGUUUAAUAAUUGCAGCAUUUAAUGAGAAAGUAGCUGAGUACAGAAAGCCGUUUUUUCGCCUUACGAGCCCGGCAAUUAAUGGAUGAUUGUGGGAUUAAUUUGGUGUCUGUACCAGAUAUGGCUCCUGGUACGGAAUCGUGUACUACUCGUACCUCUUUUCCAGAACAACCCAAAAGAGACAAAAAGGUCACAGCUGAAUGGCGUCAUCAGCAUAACCAAAUCGAAUGCAAACGACGGAAACAACUUGCCAACAUAAUAAAACAAUUAGCCGGUUUGCUGCCUCUUGGCCAUCUGCGGAAAAAAGACAAAACCAGGAAAAAGCUACCCGAGACACAUCACAAUCUGCGGACUGUGCGUUGAGUUUUUUGGAAACAGCAGAGUUAUCGCUGCCUACCUGUCCUCUGGAGAAACUAUCAUCGCGAGACGAAAUACAGUGGUGUACAGUGGAAGAACUAUGCAAUUUCACCAGUGAACAAUCUGCGCCGCUGAUUACAAUACCCAACAAUAUUUCAGCUGAUGCCAAUCAGCCACCACCAGCACCAAUGCAUUACGAAUGUCAGCAGUAAUUUAUUUAAUAAAAAUAUAACUGCCGCUCAGUUUCGUUUACAUUAAAAUUCACACAUUCGAACAGUGAAAUCACUCUGAACAUCAUAAUGACAUUUUAUCGAAAAGGGAAAGAUUUGUUAUGACCUCUUAACUUAAUAUGAGACAAUCAAUCAGCAAUUCAACUUUUGUUACCAUCAGAACUACUACGACAAGUUACGUUUUAAAAGUGAUCAAUUUAACUAUACGCAAAGCAAACUAAACACACAAAUCUGCACCUGUGAUAAAAAGAAAAGCUUAGAAAUAAAUAACUCUGCAUUUAGCUAUAAUGCUUCAUCAUCUGAAAGGUGUACUCGUACCAUUUAAAACACGCGCGUGAAAUCUACAAUGUCAUCGCUGUUGUACACUCCAGUAACAAUUUUUAUUCAGCCGCCUUUCUUAACUGGUGGUCCGGCGUGGUAUCCUUAUUACCGAUUCCCGCCAGCAUCUUCUUAAUCUCUCCGAUGGCGCGACCAGGGUUCAGAUGUUUUGGGCAGGUGCGAGUGCAGCUCAGAAUGGUG